GUUAGUCUUUGCUGAGAAGCUCUGUGUGCAUAUUGGGGCAUAUCUUCAACACUCAGUCAGGUUUUUCUCAAAUCUGCCUUUGCCUUUACUUCCUGUUUGCAUAAAGCCACAAGAUUAUUCAGUGAUGAGAAUUUAGGACCUUCUUAUGUCUUUCCUAAGAAGGAGAGAACACUGUCUGCCUGUGUGUGGCCUUCAAGAUUCCUGGGAAUACUGCUGAGUUUUUCAAAGCCUUAGGAACAUCUAAUUUCCAGCUUUUACUUUUAAGCUUUUUGUUUAUACUAUUGUUUGAUAGAAAUAUUAUCCACUGCCUUAGGACCAUAAAGUUAAACAAUAAUUCCCUGUUGUGUUUCUUUGUUUGUUUUUACCAACUCCUCCCCUCCCCUACCUCCAGGAAAAGGCUGUUCAUGCUGGGUGAGCUCUAAGUCAUGUCAGUAUAGAUAGCUUUGCAAGUGGGGUCUUCCAUGAAAUUACCAGGUAAGUCAGACAACGGUAAUUAUUUGGGAAUGAGCUCUAACCGUCUCUGUUGUCUCUAGUGCCUGCACUAUUGUUGCUUUUUACUGCAAAUGUGGGCUAUUAUUUUUCAAGGCUACCCCACAGCUGGAGAACAAGUGAUGAGAAUAAAGCUAAAAAGCAAAAAAAAAAAAGCCAUAAGUUCUUCCUAAGAUUCAGUCACUUUUCUUGAAUGAAUACUCCCUGAGUUACUACAAGACUUUGGUUAAUUUCUAGAGUUCUCAAAUAGGUGGAUUCUAACUUUAAAAAUAUUUUUACUCAUUGGUUUUGUGGAAGAAAAUAUUUAUCUUUUAACUUUCAUUUCAGGUUCAUUGGUAUAUGUGCAGACUUUUUCUAUAGGUAAAUUGCUUGCUGUGGGAGUUUGGUGUACAGACUUUCAUCACCCAGGUAAUAAGCAUUGUAUUCGAUAGGUAGUUUUUCUAUCUCUCCCCCUUCCUUCUCCCAUGCUUCACCCUCAAGUAGGCCCUGGUGUCUGCAGGUCCCUUCUUUGCGUCCAUGUGUACUCAAUGUUUAGCUCCCACUUAUAGGUAGGAACGUGCAGUAUUUGGUUUUCUAUUCCUGCUUUAGUUUGCAUCAGAUAAUGGCCUCCAGCUCCAUCCAUGUUGCUGCAAAGGACAUGAUCUCAUUCUUUGUUAUGGCUGCAUAGUAUUUAUAUAUAUAUACACACACACACAAAAAUUAAUUUUUGAUUAAAAUAUUAGGAAGUAUAAAGUAGAUCAGUCAAAAAGAUAUG
rnacentral:lncRNA from 1 species